rnacentral:rRNA from 1 species
GAUGAACGCUGGCGGCGUGCCUAAUACAUGCAAGUCGAGCGAACGGACGAGAAGCUUGCUUCUCUGAUGUUAGCGGCGGACGGGUGAGUAACACGUGGAUAACCUACCUAUAAGACUGGGAUAACUUCGGGAAACCGUAGCUAAUACCGGAUAAUAUUUUGAACCGCAUGGUUCAAAAGUGAAAGACGGUCUUGCUGUCACUUAUAGAUGGAUCCGCGCUGCAUUAGCUAGUUGGUAAGGUAACGGCUUACCAAGGCAACGAUGCAUAGCCGACCUGAGAGGGUGAUCGGCCACACUGGAACUGAGACACGGUCCAGACUCCUACGGGAGGCAGCAGUAGGGAAUCUUCCGCAAAGGGCGAAAGCCUGACGGAGCAACGCCGCGUGAGUGAUGAAGGUCUUCGGAUCGUAAAACUCUGUUAUUAGGGAAGAACAUAUGUGUAAGUAACUGUGCACAUCUUGACGGUACCUAAUCAGAAAGACACGGCUAACUACGUG